ACGAACGCUGGCGGCGUGCUUAACACAUGCAAGUCGAACGAGGUCCAUGUGAUGGCAACAUCACGGAAGACCUAGUGGCGAACGGGUGCGUAACACGUGAGGAACCUGCCCCGAUCUCUGGGAUAACAGUUGGAAACGACUGCUAAUACCGGAUACCGCUUCUGCAUCGCAUGGUGCGGAAACGAAAGAUUUAUCGGAUCGGGAGGGUCUCGCGGCCUAUCAGCUAGUUGGUGGGGUAAAGGCCUACCAAGGCAUCGACGGGUAGCUGGUCUGAGAGGAUGAUCAGCCACACUGGGACUGAGACACGGCCCAGACUCCUACGGGAGGCAGCAGUGGGGAAUCUUGCGCAAUGGGCGAAAGCCUGACGCAGCAACGCCGCGUGGGGGAAGAAGGCUCUCGGGUUGUAAACCCCUUUCAGUAGGAACGAAAAUGACGGUACCUGCAGAAGAAGGUGCGGCCAACUACGU
rnacentral:rRNA from 1 species